UACAGAGGCCUCGAGCGUUAGGCGGAAUCACUGGGCUUAAAGCGUGUGUAGGCGGACUUCUAAGUGCCUUGUGAAAUCCCACGGCUCACCCGUGGAACUGCUGGGCAUACUGGGAGUCUUGAGCCACCUAGGGGCCGAGCGGAACAAAUGGUGGAGCGGUGAAAUGCGUAGAUAUCAUUUGGAACGCCAACGGAGAAAUCAGCUCGCUGGGGGUGUGCUGACGCUGAGACACGAAAGCCAGGGGAGCGAACGGG
rnacentral:rRNA from 1 species